rnacentral:rRNA from 1 species
GAUGAACGCUGGCGGCGUGCCUAAUACAUGCAAGUCGAGCGAACAGAUGAGGAGCUUGCUCCUCUGACGUUAGCGGCGGACGGGUGAGUAACACGUGGAUAACCUACCUAUAAGACUGGGAUAACUUCGUGAAACCGGAGCUAAUACCGGAUAAUAUAUUGAACCGCAUGGUUCAAUAGUGAAAGACGGUUUUGCUGUCACUUAUAGAUGGAUCCGCGCCGCAUUAGCUAGUUGGUAAGGUAACGGCUUACCAAGGCAACGAUGCGUAGCCGACCUGAGAGGGGGAUCGGCCACACUGGAACUGAGACACGGUCCAGACUCCUACGGGAGGCAGCAGUAGGGAAUCUUCCGCAAUGGGCGAAAGCAUGACGGAGCAACGCCGCGUGAGUGAUGAAGGUCUUCGGAUCGUAAAACUCUGUUAUUAGGGAAGAACAAAUGUGUAAGUAACUAUGCACGUCUUGACGGUACCUAAUCAGAAAGCCACGGCUAACUACGUG